ACUGAACGCUGGCGGCAUGCCUUACACAUGCAAGUCGAACGGUAACAGGUCUUCGGAUGCUGACGAGUGGCGAACGGGUGAGUAAUACAUCGGAACGUGCCCGAGAGUGGGGGAUAACGAAGCGAAAGCUUUGCUAAUACCGCAUACGAUCUCAGGAUGAAAGCAGGGGACCGCAAGGCCUUGCGCUCACGGAGCGGCCGAUGGCAGAUUAGGUAGUUGGUGGGAUAAAAGCUUACCAAGCCGACGAGCUGUAGCUGGUCUGAGAGGACGACCAGCCACACUGGGACUGGGACACGGCCCAGACUCCUACGGGAGGCAGCAGUGGGGAAUUUUGGACAAUGGGCGCAAGCCUGAUCCAGCCAUGCCGCGUGCAGGAUGAAGGCCUUCGGGUUGUAAACUGCUUUUGUACGGAACGAAAAGACUCUGGUUAAUACCUGGGGUCCAUGACGGUACCGUAAGAAUAAGCACCGGCUAACUACGUGCCAGCAGCCGCCGUAA
rnacentral:rRNA from 1 species